GCAUAUCAAUAAGCGGAGGAAAAGAAACCAACAGGGAUUGCCCUAGUAACGGCGAGUGAAGCGGCAACAGCUCAAAUUUGAAAUCUGGCUCUUUUAGAGUCCGAGUUGUAAUUUGCAGAGGGCGCUUUGGCUUUGGCAGCGGUCCAAGUUCCUUGGAACAGGACGUCACAGAGGGUGAGAAUCCCGUACGUGGUCGCUAGCUAUUGCCGUGUAAAGCCCCUUCGACGAGUCGAGUUGUUUGGGAAUGCAGCUCUAAAUGGGAGGUAAAUUUCUUCUAAAGCUAAAUAUUGGCCAGAGACCGAUAGCGCACAAGUAGAGUGAUCGAAAGAUGAAAAGCACUUUGGAAAGAGAGUCAAACAGCACGUGAAAUUGUUGAAAGGGAAGCGCUUGCAGCCAGACUUGCUUGCAGUUGCUCAUCCGGGCUUUUGCCCGGUGCACUCUUCUGUAGGCAGGCCAGCAUCAGUUUGGGCGGUGGGAUAAAGGUCUCUGUCACGUACCUCUCUUCGGGGAGGCCUUAUAGGGGAGACGACAUACCACCAGCCUAGACUGAGGUCCGCGCAUCUGCUAGGAUGCUGGCGUAAUGGCUGUAAGCGGCCCGUCUUGAAACACGGACCAAGGAGUCUAACAUCUAUGCGAGUGUUUGGGUGUCAAGCCCGAGCGCGUAAUGAAAGUGAACGGAGGUGGGAACCCGCAAGGGUGCACCAUCGACCGAUCCUGAAGUUUACGGAAGGAUUUGAGUAAGAGCAUGGCUGUUGGGACCCGAAAGAUGGUGAACUAUGCUUGAAUAGGGUGAAGCCAGAGGAAACUCUGGUGGAGGCUCGCAGCGGUUCUGACGUGCAAAUCGAUCGUCAAAUUUGGGCAUAGGGGCGAAAGACUAAUCGAACUAUCUAGUAGCUGGUUCCUGCGA
rnacentral:rRNA from 1 species